CUCGGAAAAAGGAAAAAUUACCGAAAGGUAAUGGCUCAAAGCUACAGGGCCUAAAGCCGGCCGACCGGCUAUGGCAGCCAGCUGCCCAU
rnacentral:ncRNA from 1 species